rnacentral:rRNA from 1 species
CAGUAGCCGCGGUAAUACGUAGGUGGCAAGCGUUGUCCGGAAUUAUUGGGCGUAAAGGGCUCGCAGGCGGUUUCUUAAGUCUGAUGUGAAAGCCCCCGGCUCAACCGGGGAGGGUCAUUGGAAACUGGGAAACUUGAGUGCAGAAGAGGAGAGUGGAAUUCCACGUGUAGCGGUGAAAUGCGUAGAGAUGUGGAGGAACACCAGUGGCGAAGGCGACUCUCUGGUCUGUAACUGACGCUGAUGUGCGAAAGCGUGGGGAUCAAACAGGAUUAGAUACCCCUGUAGUCCCUGUCUCUUAUAC